rnacentral:rRNA from 1 species
AGAACGAACGCUGGCGGCAGGCUUAACACAUGCAAGUCGAACGCCCCGCAAGGGGAGUGGCAGACGGGUGAGUAACGCGUGGGAAUCUACCCUUCUCUACGGGAUAGCUCCGGGAAACUGGAAUUAAUACCGUAUACGUCCUGAGGGAGAAAGAUUUAUCGGGGAAGGAUGAGCCCGCGUUGGAUUAGCUAGUUGGUGGGGUAAAGGCCUACCAAGGCGACGAUCCAUAGCUGGUCUGAGAGGAUGACCAGCCACAUUGGGACUGAGACACGGCCCAAACUCCUACGGGAGGCAGCAGUGGGGAAUAUUGGACAAUGGGCGCAAGCCUGAUCCAGCCAUGCCGCGUGAGUGAUGAAGGUCUUAGGAUUGUAAAGCUCUUUCAGUGGGGACAUAAUGACGGUACCACAGAAGAGCCCGGCUAACUUCGUGCCAGCAGCCGC